rnacentral:ncRNA from 1 species
UGUCCUGCCCCGAGGAUGGGUCCCUAACGGGGUUAAAAGGGAAGACGGUGCGAAUCCGUCACGGUCCCGCCGCUGUAACCGGGGACGAAAGCCGCAGGCAACUCGCCGGGUCUCAUGGAGCCGGUAAUUGUCAAGCCACUGCCGAAAGGCGGGAAGGCGCGGCAAGUAGAUUGAUCUGGAAGUCAGAAGACCUGCCUGUCCUGAAAUAGACCC